rnacentral:rRNA from 1 species
CAUAGAAAGAAAUGCCCUCUGUUGUUCUUGAAGUUGGAUAUUGCCAAGGCCUUUGAUUCCAUCAGCUGGAGCUAUUUGCUUCAGGUGCUUGAGGCUUUUGGCUUUGGCCAACGAUGGAGGGAUCUUCUCACCAUCAUCCUUGCCACAUCCUCCUCUAGAGUGCUCCUGAACGGACGACCGGGCCCCCUUUUCAUGAAUAAGUGUGGAUUACGACAGGGCGACCCCCUCUCCCCCAUGUUGUUCAUCCUUUCCUUGGAACCACUUUAUUUGCUCCUCUCUAAGGCUACUGAGGCUGGCAUUCUCUCUCCACUCACCAUCCCGACGGCGAAGCCAAGAUCUAGUUUCUAUGCCGAUGACACUGCAAUUUUUGUCAAUCCGGUACAGAAAGUGAUCACAGCCAUCGAGCUGAUUCUUCUGGCCUUUGGAAACAUUGCCGGGAUCAAAAUCAACGAGGCCAAAUGCGUGGCCUAUCCCAUUCAGUGUCAGCAUAUCAAUAGUGAGGAGCUCCUUCAAUGCUUUGGGGACACACAUGGUGUUUUUCCCUGCAAGUACUUGGGACUCCUGUUGUCCACCUGA